UUUAAAGUGUCGGAAAGUUUGAGUGUUGUUGCGGCUGCGAAUUGUAUAAAAAUUGAAGUCUGAUCCGGUUGUGAAAAUCCGAAAAAAAAUAUCCCUGUAAGGCGGGUUGUUUAUCUUCAUUUUAAAAUGUUUCGGUGAGCAUUCAAAGUUUCCCAUAUAAAUGACAGCUUUGAAGGUGUCGACAUAAUCGCACAGCAGAGGAAAAUUUACGGAAGGAUCUUGGUUUGCGGGCUUAAAAAAUCCAACUCGUGCAAUAGUUAAGCCGAUCAACCAUUAAGCGCGUCGUAUGUUCGAAAAGAAAAUAUUGUUCAGCGAUGAAGCUCACUUUUGAUUGAAUGGGUACGUUAAUGAACAAAAUUGAAGCAUUUGUAGUGAUGGAUUGUGGAUUAUUCACAAGCUGUUGAGACGCCAUCACGUACGGCCUUAACAGUCAAUUGGGAAUGCUAUUGAGGCAUGAUUAAUUACUUUUUUGUGCCUGAAUUGGAGGAUGUACCGAUUUCAUCAUUAGUAUCAAAACUUUUGAAGCCUCUAGAAUAAAAUUAAAAUUAAAUUUUAGAUCCCGGAUUCCUGUAAAGCAUAAUACUUCCUAAAAAAUAUUUACCUCAAGGGAUUUUUUUUCCAUUCAAAAUUUGUAAAAUUACCAUUUUGUAAAGAGAAAAAAUCUCAAUUAACUUUCAAUAAGAGACUCGAGUUUUGACAAAAUUAAAGAAAAAAACUUAAAAGUCCAUUGUUAAA